AAAAAAAAAAGGUAUGUAUUAA
rnacentral:misc_RNA from 1 species